UUAAGUAACAAUUUGGAAAUGGCACUGAAGAUAGAAUUCCAGAGUUGUCAGCACUCUGACAGACAUAUCUUGAAAGAAGUUGCUCUUGCCGAUGUUGAAGAGGUUGCUGCCUAUGUUCUCCUCUAGGAUUCUGACGAAUUCCUAUCUCACACUGAGCAGUUUACAGUGCUGUCAAAUUCCUACCAUAGGAGAUGGAACAGAGGAGCAAACAAAGCAAACCCAGCCCCUCCAGCACUGGGCAGGGUGA